rnacentral:tRNA from 1 species
GGGGUUGUGGCUCAGUGGUAGAGUGAUUGCCUAGCUUGCAUGAGGCACUGGGUUCAAUCCUCAGCACCACA